rnacentral:lncRNA from 1 species
AGUCCAAAUACUACAGAUAGAGUAAAGAAGGAGACUCCUGGGUCUGCGGACACUGCAGAAAUACCUCAAAGUCUCCGUAGCUCUCCUGGCCUCAAGGAUAGUGCUCCUGAGAUGAAGUACCUGGGUCUGCACAUGAAAAACAUGCGCAGACGAGGCAUGAGUACACUACAACGGUACUCAGUAAGUACCAAGCCUAACCUCGCUCGGGUAGUGACGAGGAAGGUCAGGACCCUACUGAGAUUAAGCAAUAUAAUAAAAAUGCUGGCAACAGUAUGAAAUAAGCAGAAAUAAUGGAAUACAACUGUGAAUUAAGUCAGGUUACACAAACAACAACUAACACACCGAGGAUAAGAUAACACAGAGUAAGAUAGCUCAAUAUGAGUACCAAUUACGAGGAUCUCCAAGGAUAUCAUCAUGUAGUCCAUUUUCAUGUCAAUACCAACAACGAGGAUCUCCCAAGAUACCGUCCUGUAGUCCAUUUCCAUAUCAAUACCAAUAACGAGGAUCUCCCAGGAUAUUGUCCUAUAGUCCAUAAUAUAAAAUCAGGUUGCACAAACAACAACCAACACACUGAGGAUAAGAUAACACAGAGUAAGACAGCUCAAUAUCAGUACCAAUUAUGAGGAUCUCCCAGGAUACUGUCCUGUAGUCCAUUUCCAUGUCAAUACCAAUAACGAGGAUCUCCCAGGAUACCAUCCUGUAGUCCAUAAUAUAAAUAUGCAUGGGGAUCUCCUAGGAAUCUAACCCGUAGUCCCAAAGUAAAUAUGCAGAGGGAUCUCCCGGGAAUCUAAUCCGUAGUCCCAAAUAUAAAUAUGCAGGGGGAUCUCCCGCGAAUCUACCUGUAGUCCCAAAUUAAACAAACAGGGGGGAUCUAUCGGAAUCCCACGUCCAUAGUCCCAAUAUAAAUGCGCAACCACAAUUAGAGAAUAUACAGAAAUAAAGUACAACAAUACAAGUAACAGAUAGUUCUAGCCUAACACGUCUCACAUAGUGCAGUCAAGGAUAUUUAAGCAAGUAGGCAAGUUAAAUCAACUAAACAUAUCUUUCUAAUCAAACACAGGUUAUAAUUGCAAGUAAGAUAAAAUAAGUACGAAAGAAACUCAGUCUCAAUAUCUUAAGUAAAAAUUAAACUUUCAAAGAUUAGCUCAAGUACGCGCUCGUCACCUCACGUACAAGGCACUCAAUUACCAAAUAACAUAUCCUAGGGGAAAGGUUCCCCACACAAUGUUAGACAAGGCACUUACCUCAAACCGGCUCUAAUUCAACUUGAAACCACACGUUUGCCACGAAUAUCCGACUCCAAAUGGCCCAAAUCUAUUCAAUUCAAUUACAUAUCGUAAAUAACAUCUCAAACAAUUGAUUCUGUGAUUAAAUUCAAAGCUAAGACGGGAAAUUAGGUAAGAUGACCAUAAUUCCCCUCAAACCAACAUCUCGUAAUCGGGUGAAACUUAUAUUUGAUUCAAUGAUAAAAUGCAAAAUUAGGUAAAAUGAUCAAAACACCCCUCAGGACGAUAUCUUGGAAUCGGAUAAUUUUCACAUUUUAGAACCCUCUCACGAGUCUAACCAUAUAAAAAUCUCCCAAAUCAGAGGUCAAACACCCCCUCAAAACUCAAUAAUUUGAUCUAUGAAGUUCUACCAAUUUUUCAUUAAAAAUCUAAAAUUAAAGGACAAAAUUAAGAGGAGAUUCAUGGAAAUUGGUCUGAAUUGAGUGAGAAACACUUACCCAAGUCGCCCGGGUAAAAAUCCUUUCAAAAAUCGCCAAGAACCGAGCUCUAAAAGUCAAAAUGUGAUAAAAUGGAUAAACCCUCAAAUUUGGGAUUUAAUUCUGUCUGCCAAGUGAUUUGUGCUAUGCGAUCGCGGGAAAAACAAUGCAAUCGCAUAGAAGGAAAAAUAUUGCUGCCAAAUUUGUGCUAUGCAAUCGCGGGAAAAUCAAUGCUCGCAUAGAAGGAAAUAUUGCUGCCCAAAAUUUGUGCUAUGCGAUCGCGGGACAAGCAAUGUGAUCGCAUAGAAGGAAAAUAUUGAUGCCCAAAUUUGUGCUAUGCGAUCGCGAGCAAAUCAAUGCGAUCGCAUAGAAGGAAAUACCAGAUAGCAGAACAGCAGUUCAAACAUACGAAAAAAUGGCCCAUAGCCCAUCCAAAACACACCCGAGGCCCCAAGGAACUCAACCAAAUCCACAGACAUAUCCCAUAACAUCAUUCAAAAUGGCACCAAUCCUUAAACCACCUAAAACAACACCAGAAACUCGAAUUAAUCAAUGAUUUGAGCCUAAGAACUUGGAAUUUCAUCAAAACACGCUUUCGAUCAAAAACCUAACCAAACCACGUCCGAAUGACCUGAAAUUUUACACACACAUCCCAAAUGACAUGACGGAGCUAAUGCAACUUCCAAAUUUUUGUUCUGACUCCCAGAUAAAAAACUCACUAUCGGAUCGAAAACUUCAAAAAUUCAAACUUUGACAUUUCAAGCCUAAAUGAGCUACAGAAUUCCAAAAUGCAUUCCAAACAUGCUCCCAACCCCGAAAUCACCUAACGGAGCUAAUGGAACUAUCGAAUUCCAUUUCGAGGUUGUCUUUACACUUUUCCGACUACAGACUACUUUCCAACUCCUAUGCUCUCUUUUAGGGACUAAGUGUCCCAAAACUCUCUCAAAUCCAACACCGAACGUCCCGGCAAACCACAAUAGCAGAAAUAAACUUAGGGGAAUCAGUUAAUGGGGGAUCAUGGCGUAAAUUCAAAAAUGACUGGCCGGGUCGUCACCAUCCGCCUACACUUAAAUAUUCGUUCAUCCUCGAACGAGCAUAGAGAACAUACCUGAAGCAAUAGAAAGAUGAGGGUAUCGGCUGCGCAUAUCCCACUCGGUCUCCCAAGUCGCCUCCUCAGCCGGCCGACCCCACCACUGAACUAUUACUGAAGCGAUGUUCUUUGACCUCAACUUUCUUAUCUGCCUGUCCAAUAUAGCCACUAUAUUCUCAACAUAGGACAAACCAUUGUCCAACUGGACUGAGCUGAAAUCCAACACGUGCGACGGGUCACCGUGAUAUCUCAGGAGCAUCGAAACAUGGAAUACCGGAUGAACCCCGACCAAACUAGGAGGCAAGGCAAGCUCAUAAGCAACCUCCCCAACUUGCCUCAAAAUCUCAAAAGGGCCAAUAAACCUCGGAAUCAACUUUCCUUUCUUUCCAAGCCUCAUGAUGCUCUUCAUAGGAAAAACCCGAAGUAAAACACGCUCUCUGACCAUAUAUGAAACAUCACAAACCUUCCAGUCUGUGUGACUCUUCUGUCUAGACUGGAUUGUACGGAGUCUAUCCUGAACCAACUAUGUACGCAAUAGUCGAGCCUCACACGACUCAAACAAACCUACCGAAGACCUGCACCUCCUACCACAUAGAGCCUCAUACGAGGCCAUCUGAAUGUUGGACUGGUAGCUGUUAUUGUAAGCAAACUCCGCCAAUGGCAAGAACUGAUCCGAAGACCCUUCAAACUCAAUCACACACGCACGGAGCAAAUCCUCAAUAAUCUGUAUAGUGCACUCGGACUGUCCAUCCUUAUAGGGGUGAAAUGUUGUACGCAUCGUCACCUGAAUACCCAACUCCUGCUAAACAGCUCUCCAGAACCGUGAGGUGAACUGAGUACCUCUGUCCGAAAUAAUAGAAACUGGAAUACCAUGCAGAUGAACAAUCUCCCAGACAUAAAUCUCCGCCAACCGCUCUGAUGAGUAAGUAGCACACACAGGGAUAAAAUGAGAAGACUUGGUCAGCCGGUCCACAAUCACCCAAAUGGCAUCAAACUUCUUCACAGUCGGAGGGAGACCAACUACAAAAUCCAUGGUGAUCCUCUCCCAUUUCCAUUCCGGAAUCUCUAUCUGCUGAAACAACCCACCUGGUCUCCGGUGCUCAUACUUCACCUGCUGAAAGUUGAGGCAUCUAGCUACAUAUCCAACUAUAUCCUUCUUCAUCCCCCUCCACCAAUAGUGUUGUCUCAAGUCCUGAUACAUCUUCACGGCACCCAGAUGGAUGGAAUACCGUGAACUAUGAGCCUCUGCUAAAAUCUACUCCCGAAGCCCAUCAAUAUUGGGCAUACAAAUCCGGCCCUACAUCCUUAAUAUCCUAUCACCUCCAAUGGUCAGAUCUCUGGCAUCGUCGUGCUGAACCGUUUCCUUGAGGACAAGUAAAUUAGGGUAAUCAUACUGCCGCUCCCUGAUACGAUCGAACAAUGAACUCUCCAAUGGUCACCUCUCUGGCAUCGCCGUGUUGAACUGUGUCCCUGAGGACAAGUAAAUGAGGAUCAUCAUACUGUCGCUCCCUGAUAUGAUCGAACAAUGAAGACCAAGAAACCACGCAGGCUAGAACCCGACUAGGCUCCAAAAUAUCCAACCUCACAAACUAACUGGCUAAGGCCUGAACAUCCAUCGGCAUGGGUCUCUCUGAAGUUGGUAAAUAUGCCAAACUACGCAAACUCUCUGCCCGACGACUCAAGGCAUUCGCUACCACAUUGGCCUUGCCCAGGUGAUACAAAAUAGUGAUAUCAUAGUCCUUUAGCAACUCUAACCACCUCCUUUGGCGAAAAUUUAGGUCCUUCUGCUUGAACAAAUGCUGCAAACUCCUAUGAUCCGCAUAAAUCUCAUAAGGCACACCGUACAAAUAAUGACGCUAGAUCUUAAAGGCAUGAACAAUAGCAGCUAACUCGAGGUCGUGGACAGGGUAGUUCUUCUCAUGUAUCUUCAACUGUCUGGACGCGUAGGCAAUCACCCUACCGUCCUACAUCAACACCCCUCCAAGGCCAACUCUCGAGGCAUCACAAUAGCAGUAGGUAAUAUCAAAAUAGGGGUUGUAGUCGAAGUUGUGCUGCGCUUAUGAAAGCUCGCCUCACAUUCCUCUUUCCACCGAAAUGGGGUACCCUUCUGGGUCAAUCUAGUCAUAAGGGCUGCAAUCGAUGAAAACCCCUCAACAAAACAACCGUAAUAACCUACCAGAAAAAGAAAACUGCAAAUCUCUGUAGCUGAGGAGGGCCUGGGCCAACUCUGCACGACUUCUAUCUUCCUCGGAUAUACCCGAAUGCCCUCGCUCGAAAUCACGUGGCCUAAGAAUGCCACUGAGUCCAACCAAACUCACAUUUUGAGUACUUUGCAUAUAAAUUCUUCUAUCUCAGGAUCUGAAGCACGGUCCUCAAGUGUUGCUGAUGAUCUUCUCUACUCCGAGAAUCUACCAGAAUAUCAUCAAUAAAAACAAUAACGAACGAUUUGAGAUAUGGCAUGAAUACACUGUGCAUCAAAUGCAUAAAAGCUGCUAGGGCAUUAGUCUGCCCAAAUGAUAUAACAAGGAACUUGUAAUGACCAUACCGAGUCCUGAAAGCAGUCUUUGGGAUAUCUGGCUCCUGAAUCUAAAACUGAUGGUAACCUAAGCGCAAGUAGAUCUUAGAAAACACUUGUGCGCCCUGAAGCUGGUCAAAUAGAUCAUUAAUGCGAGGAAAAGGAUAACGGUUCUUCACGGUAACCUUGUUCAACUGGCGAUAAUCAAUACACAUACGCAUAGAACAAUCCUUCUUAUUCACAAACAAAAUAGGAGCACCCCACGGCCGAACACUGGGUCAAAUAAAACCCUUAUCAAGAAAUUCUUGUAACUGAUCCUUCAACUCCUUCAACUCAGGAGGAUCCAUAUGAUACAGAGGAAUGGAAAUGGGUUAAGCGCCUGGCAAGAGAUCAAUGCCAAAAUCAAUGCUCUAUCAGGCGGCAUGCCCGGAAGAUCAACUGGAAACACAUCGGGAUAAUCCCGUACCACUGGAACAGAACCAAUAGAAGAGGUAUCCACACUGACACCUCUCACAUAGGUUAAAUACGUUGCACACCCCUUCUCAACCAUAUGCUGAGCUUUAAGGAAAAAGAUAACUCUACUAGGAGUGUGAUCUAAAGUGUCACUCAACUCAAUACACGGAAUACCUGGCAUAGCCAGUGUCACGGUCUUGGCAUGACAAUCAAUAAAAGCAUAAUGGGGCGACAACCAGUCCAUGCCCAAGAUAAUAUCAAAAUCAACCAUGUUGAGUGAUAUUAAAUCUACCUUGGUCUCAAAACCACGAAUAGUAACUAAACAUGACCGAUAAACGCGAUCCACAAUAAGGGAAUCCCCAACAGGAGUAAAAAUAUAAACAUGGGCACUCAAAGAAUCUCGAGGCACACCCAAAUGCGGAGCGAAGUAAGAAUAAACAUAAGAAUAAGUAGAUCACGAAUCGAAUAGAACUGAUGCCUCUCUAUGGCAAGCCAAUAUAAUACUUGUGAUAAUAGAAUUGCAGGCAACAGCCUCAGCACGAGCAGGAAUGGCAUAAUAUUUGGCCUAGCCUCCCCCACGAGGGCGACCUCUACCUCCCCGGCCUCCACCCCUAGCUACCAGAGCGGGUGGAGCGGUAAAUGGAGCUGUAAUCAUAUCCUGGGAACCUUGUCGGGCAUGUUGUGGCUGAGCAGAAUGUGAAGAUGCACCCCUACCAAGUCUGGGCUAGUCCCUAACCAUAUGGCGGGUAUCCCCACACUCGAAACAAGCUCUGGGAGAGCGUGGUGGCUAUUACGACUAGGGCUACGUCUGUUGGACUGACCUCUGGAAAAAUACCCAGCGCAGGAGGCGCGCUAGAAAUCGGAGAUGCAUAGCAAGGCUCCUGAGGUAUAGGCGGAGCUGGUGCACUGCUAGCUGUUGGAAGAGCUGAAUGAACGAGGUGACCCACUAAACCCCUACCCUGUCAACCUGAUGCUGGGGUACGGGCACCAGAAUAGUGGCCCGACUCUCCAGACCUCUUGGCCUCUCUCUACUUUCGUCCCCUAGCAUGCAUAUUCUCGAUCCUCCUAGCAAUACUUACUACCUGCUGAUAAGGAAUGUCAAUCUCCAACUCUUGAUCCAUGCUAGAUCUGAUAGGUGGGAUAAGACCCUCAAUGAACCUGCAAACUCUCUCGUGGACAGUAGCAACCAAAGCCGGUGCAUGACCGGCCAAUCUGGUAUAACGAAUAGCAUACUCUGAAACGGUCAUAACACCCUGGCACAAAUGCUCAAACUCGGUGCGCCAUGCAUCCCUGAGACUCUGGGGACAAACUCUCUCAUAAACAUCUCCAAGAACUGGGUCCAAGUCAGUAAAUCAGCCUUGACUAGACUAUCUAUCUCAUAGGUGCGCCACCAAUCAUAGGCGGCUCCCGAAGCUAAAAAGUAGUAAAGGAAACCCCGCAGAACUCUACUAUACCCAUAAUGUGAAGAAUACGGUGGCACUCCUCUAGAAAUCUCAAGGCAUCAUUUGUUGCUAAUCCACUGAAAACCGGACGAUCAUAUACUUCUUGAACCUCUCCAACCUCUGUUGCUCGUCCUCAUAAGCAACUGCCCCAUCCACGGGCUGAACUGGCAUUGCAGGCAGAACAGGAAUGAUCUCUAGGACCUGCUCAACCUGCACUCGUUGCUCAAGAGUACGGACGGUGGGAGUCUCUGCUCCUCCCCCAGCCUGGGAUAUGGGUGCAGCGAGGGGAAGCAACACUUCCUGAGCCAAGGUGGUGUACAUAGACAUGAACUGAGCCAACGUCUUCUGAAGGGCUUGAGUAGUACUGGAAGUAGUAGGCGUGCCAGAUGUCUGGGCUCUAGCUGGAUCUGUUGGUGGUGCCUCAGUGGUAGUUCGCGCAGGUGCUCUAGCUGCACCACGUGCGUGUCCCCGACCUCUGCCACGGCCCCGGCCUCUGACGGCUGCAGUAGGGGCGCGGGUGCCUGAUCAUCCCGAGUAGUGCGUAUCCUCACCUUCUGUGAGAGAAUAGAAAACAGAAGUUUAGAUCCAAUGUCAAAAAUAUCGCAGGACAAGGAAAUCAACGAAGUGAAGAUUCUUCCUAAAUAGUUAUAUAGCCUAUCGUAGAUAAGUACAGACGUCUCUCUAGCAAUCAGCGAGACUCUAAUAAAUUGGCAUGUGUCCCGUGACUCCUAUGAACGUAGCGCUCUGAUACCAACUUGUCUCGAUCCAAGUUCACACUCCAUGAACAUGUCGUGAUGGCACCUAGUUCCUACAACUAGGUAAGUCUAAAAAUAUGGAAAUUUAUAUAACUUGUGGAAACAUUUAAUUAAAUUAAGCAAAACUAGAAGAAAACGGUAUAUAUGUGCCACUUGGCAUAUACAACUCAAAAUGCAGAAGUCCACAAUAAUACCCCAAAACCCGGAAACUCACACGAACACAAGCUAACAAAAAGUAAUACAUGGCUCUAACUCCAGAAUAUCUAAAGCAAAAGUACAGAAGAAGUCCAAAUACUACAGAUAGAGUAAAGAAGGAGACUUAUGGGUCUGCGGACGCUACAGAAGUACCUCAAAGUCUCCGUACCUCUCCUGGCCUCAAGGAUAGUGUGCCUGAGAUGAAGUACCUGGAUCUGCACAUGAAAAACAUACGCAUGAGAGGCAUGAAUACACCACAACGGUACUUAGGAAGUGUCAAGCCUAACCUCGGUUGGGUAGUGACGAGGAAAGGUCAGGGCCCUACUGAGAUAUAACAUAAUAAAUAAAAAGAUGAGGGAAAAACAGUAUGGAUAAAGACGCUGCAGAAGUACCUCAAAGUCUCUGUAGAUCUACUGGCCUCAAGGAUAGUGCGCCUGAGAUAAAGUACCUGGGUCUGCACACGAAAAACAUGCGCAGAAGAGGCAUGAGUAUACCACAGCGGUACUCUGUAAGCUCCAAGCCUAACCUCGGUCAGGUAUUAACGAAGAAGGUCAAGGCCCUACUGAGAUUAAGAAAUAUAAUAAAAAUGCUUGCAACAAGAUGAAAUAAGAAGGAAUAAUGGAAUACAACUGUGAAUUAAGUCAGGUUACACAAACAACAACCAUCACACCGAGGAUAAGAUGACCCAGUGAAAUUUCAAUAGUAGGGUCUGGGAAGAAUAGUGUAUACACAAACAUUACUCUUACCCCAAGAGGGUAGAAAGGAUGUUUCUGAAAGACCAUCGGCUCAAGAAAACAAGAAGAGAUAAUAUAUCAGUAUUAUCAACAAAAACAAAGAAAUAACAACAUCAACAUAAAAGCUAGAAAAUAGAUGAAAACAAUAGCAACAAUGUCACGCCCCAAAUCUGGGGAGGUGUGGCUGGCACCCAGUGCCGCACUGGCCCGAAAGAACCACUCUGUAACUUAUGAUCGUUCGACCAAAACUAGAACUUGCAAAGGUUGAGUUGAGUGAGCUCAUUCCUUUUGUAACUAUCAUGGCCCAACAUAGCCACAACUCAUAAUGUACAAUUAUAAUGAUGUGUCAACAAUCCAUUGUACUAAAAACACGAAUACACACAGGCUGUCAAGGCCUCUGACAUAUUGUACAUAAUGAACUUGUGUUUUGCAAAUCCUCUAAGAAUAUUCAACAUCAAACUGGAUAGGACCUCGGCCUAACCAUAAGUCUGUAGAAAAACACUGACAUGAUAACUUAAAGACUCGGUUGCACUUUAAACAAAGUGGAGUCUUUUUUGUCCUUUGAUGAAUGCUAAUCUCGUCUACUACGAGAGCUUGUCAAACUAAUUACCUUCGCAUGUAGCCAUGAAUGCAACAUCUACUACAAAAAGGACAUCAGUACAAAUAAUGUACCGAGUAUGUAAGGCAUGAAAAUCAGUAUAUAAAAGACAUGAAAAAACAUGAAGUAAAAGACUCAAUCUAUAAGUCUGAAUAACUUUGUAAAUCAUAAAACAUUUAUUAUGUCAUACAUAUGCGUAUAAAUAUCAUAUAAUGCAUAGGCAUAUGCGUACAUAACAUCAUCAAGCCACUGAGGGCAUCCCAUCACAUCUUCUCAGCCUCUAUGGACGAAAUCAUCAACGCAUAUUGGCUGAUCAGGUUGUGGUGCUUAUAUAAUAUCGUAACCUUUCUCCCAUGCCCCAUAUAUCAUCUACGUGUAUAUAACGUUGUCUCGUCAUUGGUCAAUAUAUAUAUAUAUAUAUAUAUAUAUAUAUAUAUAUAUUGAGUAGUACUAGAAGUAGUAGGCNNNNNNNNNNNNNNNNNNNNNNNNNNNNNNNNNNNNNNNNNNNNNNNNNNNNNNNNNNNNNNNNNNNNNNNNNNNNNNNNNNNNNNNNNNNNNNNNNNNNNNNNNNNNNNNNNNNNNNNNNNNNNNNNNNNNNNNNNNNNNNNNNNNNNNNNNNNNNNNNNNNNNNNNNNNNNNNNNNNNNNNNNNNNNNNNNNNNNNNNNNNNNNNNNNNNNNNNNNNNNNNNNNNNNNNNNNNNNNNNNNNNNNNNNNNNNNNNNNNNNNNNNNNNNNNNNNNNNNNNNNNNNNNNNNNNNNNNNNNNNNNNNNNNNNNNNNAUAUAUAUAUAUAUAUAUAUAUAUAUAUAUAUAUAUAAAACUGCAAUAAUAAAAUAAGUUUAUAAGAUCUCCUUGAAAUAAUAAGAUCAAUAUGCUUUAGGUUAAUAUCAUUAAUAAAUUUUAUCAACUUACAUAUUUUUGAGACCCAUGAACAGACAAUAUAAUACUAGGACACAUGGGAAAUCAAGAACAUAGGCACUUUUAUUACUUCUAUGGAUAGAGUCAUUUGUGAAAAUUUCGCGUUUGAUUAUUUCGUUGUAUCAUAUGGAUCAUGUCAAAAGAAAAGACAGGUUAGCCUUAAUAUACCUGGUCUUAACCCACUUGCUCAAGAGCUCAAUUCGCAUCCUCUAUGCGAUAAUAAGAAUAAUAUCAUUGUCAACCACAUGAAAAACUCUCUUAAUCGCGUAACCGAAGAUAACCUAUCCUACAAUGAACUGGACAGUAUUUUCCCUGUUAUUAUCAUUACCUCAAGCCCACCAUAGGCAAGGUAAUACAACAGCACAACUAACAAUUCCUAUUAACAAGUUUACAGCUCAAACAAUGAUACAACAAACGAAAAGUUUGGCUACGAUUUUCAGCCACACUUCUCCAAUCUUUUCUUUUUUUGAAAAACACAUAUCAAUGCCAACACCAACUGUCUACUCAAGUUACUCCAAAAAUUUCUAGCAAUAACAAAACUUAGACAAUUACUGAAUAGCCGAUACAACAACAACAACGUUAAAAUAUGAUUUUAAUUCUUAUCCUACAAUUUAGCCAUGACCUAGACAAACUUAAAUAUACCAAGGAGAGGAAAAUUCUUACCUUAUUUUCCAAGAAAUACUCUUAUUGCUCCUUAUUUCACAUCGAAGAGAGUCCGGAUUAACCAACGCGCCAAAACGGAAUAAUAAGAUCAAAGUGGUAUCCAAAACGCACAUAUUGUCUUUGAGAAAGAUUACGCUCUUCUUCUAACCUACUUCGCUUCGAAGAAAUCUCCUAGUUUCUAUCAUCCGGAGGAAAUCGAUGUGGCCAUAAUCCCUAUAUUGUUCUUGCAUUUUGCUUCAAUGCAAGGACAUAUCUUUACCUCUACAGGUUGUAGCUCAUAUUUCUCAUGGGGACCUUUUUCUAAACAACGUUGAGAAGAAGAAAAUUAUGUAUUUCCUCCACACUUGCUAAAGUAUUGCCAUGAUAACUACACAUA